CUGCCGUCCUUGGCUCCAGUCAGGGCCGCUAGAGUCGCGCGCGCGCCCCCCGCCCGAAGAAGAAACCUCAUGUUUAAUUCUUCCCCCAACCCUCCUAUCAGUUCCUCCGAAAGAGCAAACUCCGGGGCGACCAGCACGUCUUCAGGGCCACAUUUCACUACGUCUAAAACGCCAGCGGGAGGAAGGGCGAAACACUGGCGAGAAGAGGGGCGGGGGAGAUAGGGAGCGCGAUGGGGGGUGGGGGGAGCACUUGCUGGGAGGAUCGCCGCCCUCCCAGGGCGACCGCCGCCGCGACGCUCCAGCAGAGCCUCAGGCCGUUGUCGCGGGGAGGGAAGCCCCCCUCGGGGCCCAGAGCACAAGCCGGGGUCCCCGGAGCCGGCUUCCCCUGCUGCCUCCACGUCCGGGGCCGUCGGGGCGAUGGCGCAAGACUCUGCACACCCCCCCCCCAGCGACAACAGCCACGGUGACAAAAUGGCAGCCCGGCGCCCGGCAGUCGUGCCACAGGCGAGCAGGGCCCCGGCGGCCGCCCCUGCCCCCCAAUAACGCCUCGGCGCCCUUCGGGCUCGGCCUCCGGGGCCUGGCCUUCACGAAAAUAAUAAUAACAAAACACCUCGAGCUCCGAAGCAGCUGGGAAGCCAGGAGGCCCGCCAAGGGCCGGCCCGGCGCGCCCGCGCCCGGCCCGCGCGCACGAGGCCCGGCCGCCCCGGCGCCAGCCCGCCCGCCCGCCCGCCCGCCGGCCCGCGCCCCGCGCCGCAUGGAGCCCGGCGCCCGCACUCGCAGCCCCGCGCUCGGCGCCGGCCGCGCCAUGGGGGAGGGGCGGGGCGGGCCGCGCGAGACCCGGGAAACAUGGCUGCUCGUCCUAUUUCGGCGUCGCGGCGUGGCCACCAGCCCCCGGAUCCGAGUUGGGAGAGGCUCCGAAGAGGCUCCCGCGCCGGCGGAAUUCAAUCAAUAAACCCCGAACCCACGGCCGCGCGUUUUAGGACUUUGAAGGCUCAACCAGCUCCGCUCGGUUCUCGAGCCCCCAGCACCCGCGGCGCACACUAACCUGAUCACGGUGGAGGCGGGACCUGCGGUUCGGCGGAUGAGCGGCAACAGCUGGAGCCAAUCGCUGCCGAGGGUGUCCGGGCAACAGCCAAUGGUGGCGGCGGCGGGGGGGGAAGGGACCAAUGGGCGGGCUGCGCAGCCGGCCAGGGAGGCUCAGCCAUUUGGUUGUGGUGCCCGAGACGGACCCCUUUAGAUUUCGGGGCGGCUGAAGAUCGCGGCGGCUGCUUGGUGGCUGAGCUAGGGGGGUGGGCAGAAUGGCGGGGGAAGGGAAGGUGACUGCGCCUGGAGGGCCGAGCCGCUCGGCCUCGCCAGCCUGCCGCCGCCUCAGCGUUUGGCCGGGGGCGGGGCCGCAGGUGCGUUACUCGAGGGGGAGGGGCGCGGCCGGAGGGGUCGGGGUCGGGGUCCUCGCCCGGCCGAGGGCUUCGCAGGGCCGUCCUGGGCCUGUCCGCGUCGCUGGACCGGGUUGGCUAAAGAGGCGGGCGGCGCGAGAUCUGGGGGCCCCGGGGCUGCCCGGCGGGCGAGCGGGCGGAUGAAAGGCCUGGAAAGAGGGGGAGGGGUCAAGGGUGCAGUGGGGGGAGGGGCUGGUCACUUUCUGGGUCCGGCGGGCCGAGCUGGUAGAGCGUGGCUGCUGCCUUCCUCUUCCUCCGCGGGUACCCACCCCGGGGCUGCGGCUCACGGCCCGCGCGCCCCUUCGCCUCGUCCUCGUCCAGCCGCGGCCAUCGCCGCCCCUCUAAUAAACAAGUAAAUGAAA